rnacentral:tRNA from 1 species
GCCGGGGUGGUGGAAUUGGUAGACACUGCGGACUUAGGAUCCGCUGGGCAACCGUGCAGGUUCGAGUCCUGUCCCCGGCACCA